GUUUGAAGUAAUGGGUGCUGAAAGGGUGUCAGUUAAUUUUUAACAUGUAUACUUAGAUGUGACCAAAGAUAAUUUUAGUUCUAGAGGAGGUAAUUUUAAAGUGGAAGAACUGACUUCUGGGGCUGAAGGGAAUGAAAUUUUUGGUGAAUAUAUCUUGGAUAACUCAUCAGCUCUCUUCUCAAUAUCAAUUUUGGGCUCAGAUUCUUCUAUCGAGCUAGUCUCAGUACUAAUCUCUUUUUCUAAAUUCUCUUUUUGACUAGCAUCAGUACUAACCUCACUCACCUGGUCUUGGUAUGAGUCCUUAAGAAUUCUAUCACUUUGAAGCUC
rnacentral:lncRNA from 1 species